AUGCAGAGGAGCUGGGCAGAGGCAGAGCAGAGCUCACCUGCUCACCGGUCACUCCUCGUCGAAUUCGGCCGCCGGCUCGGGGAGCGUGGGCAGCACGGGGUACUUGCGCGAGAAGCAGGCGUCGCAGUAGUCGCCCGCCUCCUCGCCGUAGAUGCCGUGCAGCUUGUCCAGCGAGAGGAAGGCGAGGGAGUCGCUGCCGAUCUCCCGCCGCACGCCCUCCAGGUCCAUCCGGUUCGAGAUGAGCUCGCCGUCGCUCGGCGUGUCGAUGCCGUACAGGCACGACCCCACCACCGGCGGGCUGGCGAUGCGCAUGUGCACCUCGCGCGCGCCGGCGUCGCGGAGCAGGCGCACGAUCUUGCUCGACGUGGUGCCCCGGACCAGGGAGUCGUCCACCACCACCACGCUCUUGCCGCGGAUCACGCCACGCACGGGCGCCAGCUUGAGCUUCACGGCCAGGUCGCGGAUCGCCUGCGUCGGCUGGAUGAAGCUGCGCCCGCUGUAGUGCCACCGGAUCAGGCCCUGCUGGAACUCCAGCCCCGACUCCCGCGAGAAGCCGAGCGCGGCGUAGAAGCCCGAGUCGGGAACCGGGAUGACCACGUCGGCGCCCGGCGCGGGGGACUCCUCCGCGAGGGCGCGGCCGAAGGCGGUGCGGCGCUCAUGGACGUCGUGCGAGAAGACGACCGAGUUGGGGAGGGAGAAGUAGAUGUGCUCGAAGACGCAGGCCCGGCGCGGGAGGCGCGGGACGAGGCAGGCCGAGGAGACGGACAUGUCGCGGCGGUCGACCAUGACCACCUCCCCGGGCUCCACCUCGCGCUCGUAUGCGGCGUCGAUGAGGUCCAGCGCGCAGGUCUCGGACGCGAAGGCCACGGCGCCGUUGGGGAGGCGGCCGAGCACCAGCGGGCGGAACCCGUGCGGGUCGCGCACGGCGAACAGCUUGUCGGCCGUGAGGAAGAGCAGCGAGUAGGCCCCCGCGAGGCGCUCGCAGGCGUCGCAGAUGCGCGCCAGCAGCGGCCGCGAGAGCGACGUGGAGAUGAGGUGGAGGAUGACCUCCGUGUCGGAGGUGGUGUUGAAGAUGGAGCCCCGCGCCUCCAGCUUGCUCCGCAGCGCCUGGUAGUUGACGAGGUUGCCGUUGUGCGCCACGGCCACCUGCCCGAACCUGUAGCCCGCCAGGAACGGCUGCACGUUCCGCAGGGACGCGGCGGCGCCGGCGGUGGAGUAGCGCACGUGCCCGAUGGCGGCGGGUCCGGGCAGCGAGGCGAGCCUGGACGGGUCGCCGAAGACGUCGGCGACGAGCCCCAGCCCGGUCACGGACUUGAGCUUGCCGUCGCCCCCGGCGGCGACGAUCCCGGCGCCCUCCUCCCCGCGGUGCUGCAGCUUCUGCAGGCCCAGGUAGCAGAGCGAGGAGGCGUCCGGGUGGCCCACGACCCCCACCAGGCCGCACUCCUCGCGCGGGUGGUCGUCGGAUUCGUCGUCCGCCCCGUAGGAGAACGGGGUCACGCGGUCCGGCAGGAGCGCCGCCCCGGCUGGCGGCGAAAGGCGGCGGCGCAGAGCGAGAGGGGACGGAUUGGGGGCGUACCUGAGUCGCUGCUGCUGGUGUUGGUUGUGGCGCUUGGAGGCGGAGGUGGUGUGGUGGGGAUGGAGGAGGCGCGACGUGGACGGGGCGGCGGCGGCGGCGGCCAUUCCCAUUCUUGGACGGCUGAUUGGGGAGGGGAUUGCUGGCGGCGGCGGCGGCGGCGAGGGCUUUGGGGGGAUGCCCCUCCGAGUGCGGGUCAAGGGGCGGGAUUUUAA
rnacentral:rRNA from 1 species